UUGUCUCAAAGAUUAAGCCAUGCAUGUCUCAGUACAAACCAAAAUAAGGUGAAACCGCGAAAGGCUCAUUAUAUCAGUUAUGGUUCAUUAGAUCGUACCCCACAUUUACUUGGAUAACUGUGGUAAUUCUAGAGCUAAUACAUGCAUACAGAACUCCGACCGGAGACGGAAGGAGCGCUUUUAUUAGAUCAAAACCAACACGGGGAGGUAGGGUCCGGCGGCGUCUCGCGCGUCGACGCGGCCUCGCCUCCUCAAACAUAGCUCGCACGACGAAUCUGAAUAACUUUAUGCCGAUCGCACGGUCACGCACCGGCGACGCAUCUUUCAAAUGUCUGCCUUAUCAACUUUCGAUGGUAGGUUAUGCGCCUACCAUGGUUGUAACGGGUAACGGGGAAUCAGGGUUCGAUUCCGGAGAGGGAGCCUGAGAAACGGCUACCACAUCCAAGGAAGGCAGCAGGCGCGCAAAUUACCCACUCCCGGCACGGGGAGGUAGUGACGAAAAAUAACGAUACGGGACUCAUCCGAGGCCCCGUGAUCGGAAUGAGCACACUUUAAAUCCUUUAACGAGGAUCAAUUGGAGGGCAAGUCUGGUGCCAGCAGCCGCGGUAAUUCCAGCUCCAAUAGCGUAUAUUAAAGUUGCUGCGGUUAAAAAGCUCGUAGUCGAAAUUGUGUCCUCGGCCGCCGGUUCGUCGCUCGCGACGCCAACUGGCGCGCACGUUGGACGUCCAGCCGGUACUACGAACUCGCCUACGGGGUGCUCUUAACCGAGUGUCCAGGCGGGGGCCGGCAACGUUACUUUGAACAAAUUAAAGUGCUUAAAGCAGGCUAAAUUGCGCUCGCAUACACGCGCAUGGAAUAAUCGAAUAGGACCUCCGUUCUAUUUUGUUGGGUUUUUGUGGAACGACAGACGGAGGUAAUGAUCAAUGGGUGCGGAUGGGGGCAUUCGUAUUGCGACGUUAGAGGUGAAAUUCUUGGAUCGUCGCAAGACGGACUUAAGCGAAAGCAUUUGCCAAAAACGCUUUCAUCGAUCAAGAACGAAAGUUAGAGGUUCGAAGGCGAUCAGAUACCGCCCUAGUUCUAACCAUAAACUAUGCCAGCUAGCGAUCCGCCGACGUUACUUCUAUGACUCGGCGGGCAGCUUCCGGGAAACCAAAGCUUUCGGGUUCCGGGGGAAGUAUGGUUGCAAAGCUGAAACUUAAAGGAAUUGACGGAAGGGCACCACCAGGAGUGGAGCCUGCGGCUUAAUUUGACUCAACACGGGAAACCUCACCAGGCCCGGACACCGGAAGGAUUGACAGAUUGAGAGCUCUUUCUUGAUUCGGUGGGUGGUGGUGCAUGGCCGUUCUUAGUUGGUGGAGCGAUUUGUCUGGUUAAUUCCGAUAACGAACGAGACUCUGUCCUGCUUAAUAGCCGAAAGAACGGACGAAGGCGCACGCGCGCGGCGGCACGCCGUCGCGCGUCGCUCGUCGUGUCGUCGUGUCGUCGUCGUUCGGUCACACACAGGCAUCUCGAAGGCCGGCGGUAGCACGAGCGCUCGGUUCUUACACUGUCUGCGGACAAACAUAUCUUCUUAGAGGGACAAGCGGCUCGAAGCCGCGCUAUAGAGAGCAAUAACAGGUCUGUGAUGCCCUUAGAUGUCCUGGGCCGCACGCGCGCUACACUGAAGGAAUCAGCGUGUGCGCAGAUAGCCCUCGGCCGAGAGGCCCGGGUAAUCCGCUGAAACUCCUUCGUGCUAGGGAUUGGGGUUUGAAAUUCUUCCCCAUGAACGAGGAAUUCCCAGUAAGCGCGAGUCAUAAGCUCGCGUUGAUUACGUCCCUGCCCUUUGUACACACCGCCCGUCGCUACUACCGAUCGAACGAUUUAGCGAGGUCUUCGGACCGACGCCCGUCGUCCAUACGGUCGACGGACGCGCCGGAAAGUCGACCGAACUUGAUCGUUU
rnacentral:rRNA from 1 species